AGGAGUUUGAUCAUGGCUCAGAAUCAACGCUGGCGGCGUGCUUAACACAUGCAAGUCGAGCGCGAAAGCGGCUUCGGCCGUUAGUAGAGCGGCGGACGGGUGAGGAACACGUGGGUAACCUACCCUCGGAUGGGGAAUAACCCAGGGAAACUUGGGCUAAUUCCGCAUGAUAUCCAUAGCUCGCAAGGGCAUUGGAUCAAAGCUGGGGACCCUUCGGGGCCUGGCGUCUGAGGAGGGGCCCGCGGCCGAUUAGCUUGUUGGUGAGGUAACGGCCCACCAAGGCUCCGAUCGGUAGCCGGCCUAAGAGGGCGGACGGCCACACUGGGACUGAGACACGGCCCAGACUCCUACGGGAGGCAGCAGUGGGGAAUUUUUGUCAAUGGGGGAAACCUUGAACAAGCAACGCCGCGUGGAGGAUGAAGACCCUCGGGUCGUAAACUCCUGUCGGAGGGGACGAAACCGGUUGUAGUUAAUACCUGCGAUCAUUGACGGUACCCUACGAGGAAGCCCCGGCUAACUCCGUGCCAGCAGCCGCGGUAAUACGGGGGGGGCAAGCGUUGUUCGGAAUUACUGGGCGUAAAGCGCGCGCAGGCGGCCCGGCAAGUCCUACGUGAAAUCCCACAGCUUAACUGUGGAACUGCGUGGGAUACUGCCAGGCUUGAGUCCGGAGANGAGAGUGGAAUUCCCAGUGCAGCGGUGAAAUGCGUAGAUAUUGGGAGGAACACCGGUGGCGAAGGCGGCUCUCUGGACCGGUACUGACGCUGAGCGCGA
rnacentral:rRNA from 1 species